GGAAGUAAAAAUCGUAACAAGGUCUCCGUAGGUGAACCUGCGGAGGGAUCAUUACAGAGUUCAUGCCCUACCGGGUAGAUCUCCCACCCUAUGUUAUUAUUACUUUGUUGCUUUGGCGGGCCGUUAGGCUCCGGCCCGACUACCGGCCCCGGCUGGUAAGCGCCCGCCAGAGGACCCAAAACCCUGAAUAUUAGUGUCGUCUGAGUACUAUAUAAUAGUUAAGACUUUCAACAACGGAUCUCUUGGUUCUG
rnacentral:misc_RNA from 1 species